UGGGGAAUAUUGGACAAUGGGCGCAAGCCUGAUCCAGCCAUGCCGCGUGAGUGAUGACGGCCUUAGGGUUGUAAAGCUCUUUCACCCACGACGAUAAUGACGGUAGUGGGAGAAGAAGCCCCGGCUAACUUCGUGCCAGCAGCCGCGGUAAUACGAAGGGGGCUAGCGUUGUUCGGAAUUACUGGGCGUAAAGCGUACGUAGGCGGACCGUUAAGUCAGAGGUGAAAUCCCGGAGCUCAACUUCGGAAUUGCCUUUGAUACUGGCGGUCUUGAGUCCGGGAGAGGUGAGUGGAACUGCUAGUGUAGAGGUGAAAUUCGUAGAUAUUAGCAAGAACACCAGUGGCGAAGGCGGCUCACUGGCCCGGUACUGACGCUGAGUACGAAAGCGUGGGGAGCAAAC
rnacentral:rRNA from 1 species